rnacentral:rRNA from 1 species
UACGGGGGGAGCAAGCGUUGUUCGGAUUUACUGGGCGUAAAGGGCGCGUAGGCGGUUUGGCAAGUCGGGUGUGAAAUCCCGGGGCUCAACCCCGUGACUGCAUCCGAUACUGUCAGGCUAGAGGUAGGUAGGGGAGAUCGGAAUUCCUGGUGUAGCGGUGAAAUGCGCAGAUAUCAGGAGGAACACCGGUGGCGAAGGCGGAUCUCUGGGCCUUACCUGACGCUCAGGCGCGAAAGCUAGGGGAGCGAACAGG